AUUAAAUAUUUUGGUGACUUCUGUUAAAUAUUGAAUAUUUUUUGCUACAUAUUUAUUUGUUUCUAAUGAAAAACUUACAUACAGUUUUCGGUGGAUCAUCCAAAUGAUAACUUCACGGCCGUUGGUGGAAGCUACGAUCAUAUUUUCACAUAUGAUACAACACUUAUCACAUCAUUAUACCUCACAACCUCAAGAGGAUUUACCUCUCCUUUAUUCGGUGAGAUGAAGGGAACAGAAUUCGAGUUCAAAGGUGAAAAUGGAGAAAAGCUUAUUGGAUUCCAUGGACGUGCUGGUCAUGCUAUUGAUGCUAUUGGGGCCUACUUCGACACUGGUUCUAAACCGGGCUUUCGGUGGAUUAUCCAAAUGAUAACAUCGUGGCCGUUGGUGGAAGCUACGAUCAUAUUUUCACAUAUGAUACAACGCUUAUCAAAUCGCUAUACUUCACAACCUCCAGGGGGUUUACCUCUCCAUUAUUCGGUGAGAAGACAGGAACAGAUUUCGAGUUCCAAGGUGAAAAUAGAGGAAAGCUUCUCGGGUUCCAUGGACGUGCUGGCUAUGCUAUUGAUGCCAUUGGAGCUUACUUCCACACCGGUUCACAAGGCGGUGAGGGAGGUGACCCCAGCAAAGGUGGUCCUAAACCUGUAGUACCCGUAAAGAUGGGACCCCUAGGUGGUGACAGGGGAAACGAAUUCAACGAUGUUGGUUUCGAUGGUGUGAAGAGAGUAGCUGUGGCAGCUGAUGAAUUCAGUGUAACCUACAUCAAGAUCGAAUACGUAAAGGAUGGAAAAGUUGAAAUCCGUGAGCACGGGACAAGUCGAGGGCAAGUAAAAGAGGUAUGAAUUAAAUAUUUUGGUGACUUCUGUUAAUAUUGAAUAUUUUUUGCUACAUAUUCAUUUGUUUCUAAUGAAAAACUUACAUACAGUUUUCGGUGGAUUAUCCAAAUGAUAACUUCACGGCAGUUGGUGGAAGCUACGAUCAUAUAUUCACAUAUGAUACAACACUUAUCACAUCAUUAUACCUCACAACCUCAAGAGGAUUUACCUCUCCUUUAUUCGGUGAGAUGAAGGGAACAGAAUUCGAGUUCAAAGGUGAAAAUGGAGAAAAGCUUAUUGGAUUCCAUGGACGUGCUGGUCAUGCUAUUGAUGCUAUUGGGGCCUACUUCGACACUGGUUCUAAACCGGGCGGCGACUCAAACAGUGGAAAAGGAACUGACAGCGGUUCUAGUACUAAAGACAGUGGAAAAGGAACUGACAGCGGUUCUAGUACUAAAGACAGUGGAAAAGGAACUGACAGCGGUUCUAGUACUCAAGACAGUGGAAAAGGAUCUGACAGCGGUUCUAGUACUCAAAGACUGGAGGCACAAGGAGGCAAGGGAGGCAAUCAAUGGGAUGACGGAGGCGAUUACGACGGUGU
rnacentral:lncRNA from 1 species